UGCAACCCCUCCUUUGUGAAUUCAUAAAUCUGAUGCAAAUGUUCUACAUUACUUCCCAACCUUGUGAGACAAUGCUACAGAAUGCAUUGGCCUGUCAAUUUUUGCUUCCAAGUUACUAUUGAUUUCUUAAACACCUUUAGAUUCCUGUGUUUUCAGAUUUUGUACUAUCCCUUGAGCAUCAAGAGUUCCAGUGUAGGUGAGACUGAAGAACAAUGCACCACCAUUUAACUGUGUGAUCAAAGUAGUUAUCUACCUGACCUAAUUGUAGACAUAGAUAUUCUCAUCUUUUUCUGACUAAAACCCCCAUAUUAGGACCAAUUUAAUGAAAUUUAUUCAAAGUACAAGGCUCAGUUUCUUGAUGAUUUAAGUAACUAAAAUAAUUUGGUUGUUGUUGCGCAAACAGAGAGCAAACCAUACACAUACGCACACUUUGAAUCACUGAAAAACCUUUAGACCAUUCAACAGAGUCGAAAUCAGAAAGACAAAAAUACACAGCAGACAAACACAAAUAUAAAAUGAUGGAAAGCAAAAUAACACAAGAGAUUUACCGUGAUUCACCCAAAAGGGCUACGUCCACAUUGAGCUCCAGCAAAGGAGAGCUCAUUGCACUAUCGGAGAAAAAUAGGGUUUACAAUACUUACAGCAUAUAAGCCUCACAACCACUCUAUGUACACAAACUGGUUCUUUUAACAAAAUCCGCCUCAAAAUUAUAUACAAGAGGAAGAUCAGAGGCUUACCCUAUUGAACCAGAGAGAAGACCGAAAAGGAGCCAGAGAGUCUGAAAACAACAAAAUGAGAGAGAACCCUUGAGCCCCUAAGCAUCUACUCACCCUCUCUCUCAAUCUCUGAUUAAUUACACAUCCCGAUGCACAAUAAAAAAUAGGGGUCGCACGAUGCAAUUGAAAGGCUUGGAUUGCACCAGAUAAAAGGCGACAUCAACGGUCUAGAUUGCGCACAAAGACAAGACAAUUUGCACGAUCGAGUGAAAGGAUGCCCGGACGGUUGCCAAGCUGCCCUCCGCUGCCACGUGGCAAUGGUUGCUGCUGACCCUCCUGUUUGGGUCUUUAAAUGUUAAAUGGCAACAAUCACCUUGAAGCAGCCAACAAUCACCACCUUGAAGCAACAACGAUUCAAUAGGACAUAUCCCAAUUAGUGCAACAAACUUCUAUCCUCACCUUCAUUGCUCAAGUUGGUUUGGAUUAACCAACUUCGACAUGCAGUAAGCCCAAGCAGUGUUUAAACUUAGUUGCAGUCACUACCUUUGUCCCAAUAUCAGCUGGGUUAUCCUCUGUAGACACUUUGAGGAUUACAACAGUUCCAUCACUUACUAGAUUUCUUACAAAAUGAUACUUUACAUCAAUAUGUUUAGUUCUUUCAUGAUAAACAGGAUUCUUACAUAAAUGAAUAGCACUCUGGCUAUCAGAAAAUAUCUUGAACCUUAUAAAAGAUUAAUUUCCUGCAAGAGACCUUGAAGCCAGAUAGCUUUCCUGAAAGCAUCAGUAACAACCACAUACUCUGCUUCAGUGGAAGACAGAGCAACCAAAGGCUACAAUUGUGACUUCCAGCUAAAGCAAUUGCCACCUAAGGUGAAGAAAUAUGUUGUGGUGGACUUACAGGAGUCUCUAUCCCCUACAAAAUCUGAGUCUACAUAUCCCACCAAGUCAAGAGUAUCACUUAUUCUCUCAAAGUUUAAACCAACAUUUAGAGAACCAUUAAUAUAUCUUAGCACAUAUUUUAAGGCUUCAUAGUGACUUUUUCCAGGGUUAGACAUAAACCUACUAAGUAAGGAUAUUGAAUAUGCUAGUUCUGGCCUAGUGCUUAUCAUGGAAUACAUUAUGGUCCCAAUUACGUUGGCAUAUGGUAUGUUUUCCAUUUUAAGAGUUUUUGAUUCAGAUGAUGGACACUGUGUUUUAGACAAGAUAAAAUGUCCAGCUAAGGGAACAUUAACAGUUUUACACUCAGCCAUACCAAUUUUUGAACAGUUUUAAGUAGGUAAUCAUGCUGGUGAAUUUUUAGUUUGUUUUUACUUCUAUUUCUUUCUACUAUCAUCCCUAAGAUUUUCUUAGCUGGUCCUAAGUCUUUCAUAUCGACAUUAGUAUUUAACAUAGACUUUAAUUCACAUAUUUUUGACUUGGACUUGCUAAUGAUCAAGAUAUCAUCAACAUACAAUAAGAGAUAAACAAGGAUAUUAGAUAGUAUAUAGUAAAAAGCAGCUAUCAUAUUUACUUCGAUUAAAACCAAUCUCAGCAGCAAAAUUAUCAAUUUUUUAUACCAUUGCCUAGGAGAUUGUUUUAAUCCAUACAAUAAUUUUUUAAGUAAACAGACAUGAUCAGGAUAAUUAAUGUCAAUGUAUCCAACAGGUUGUUCCAUGUAAAUUCUUUCAUCAAUGUCUCCAUGUAAAAAUGCAGUUUUGACAUCCAUUUGUUCAAAUUCUAAGUCAAAUUGUACUACAACAGCAAACAUCAUACGUAUGGUUUUGAAUUUAACUACUGGAGAAAAGAUUUCAGUAUAGUCUAUUCCUUCUUUUUGAGAAAACCCUUUAGCUACAAGUCUUGCUUUAAAUCUUAGUGGUCAAAUGGUGACAUUCCUUCUUUAAGUUUGAACAACCAUUUACAUUUAAUUAGCUUCUGCUUAUCAGGCCUUGGAACCAGUUUCCAAGCCUCAUUAACCUUUAAAGAGGUCAUUUCAUUAUCCAUUGCCUGUUUUCACUUAGUGCUGUCAUGGGAGCUGACAGCCUCCUCAUAACAGGUAGGCUCACUGCUUCUCAUCUCCAUUCUAGAAACUAAGGCACAAAACACCAUGUCUGAGUAUGCAUAUCUAACAGGAGGUCUGAUAGACCUCCUCACUCGGUCUCGGGUGAGUUGAUAAUUGUUGAGGUCUUUUUGAGGAGAGUCAUACUCCUCAACCUCAGGGUCAUCAGGUUGAACCACAUGAUCACUGUCCUAAUCAGAGGUUUCUUCUUGGGUUAAGGGUUCAUCAAAGGUGUGGGGAUAAUGUGAGGUUGAGGUGACAGGAGGAUCCUGUUACUCCAUCUCAAUUUGAGUACUGCCACCUCUUACAAAUUCACUAGGGCUGCUAGGUCUUGGGUUAUCUUGAUUGUCGUCAGUUUUGCAUGGGAAGAUUAGCUCAUUAAAUUUUACAUCUUUGCUAAUAAUGAUUUUAACUCCACCUGAAAUUCUAUCUCAUAGCCUAUAACCCUUGGUUCCCUCUUGAUAUCCAACAAAAACACAUUUAAUGGCCCUGGGAUCUAAUUUUCUUUCUGAGUGAUGGGCAUACGCCUCACAACCAAACACUCCUAGAUAGUCUAAGUUAAGUUUUCUCCCAGUCCAUUUCUCUUCAGGACACUUAAAAUUGAUUGCAGUAAAAGGGCUCCUAUUUACUAGGUGGGCUGUUGUGGAUAGGGCUUAUCCCCAAAAUGUUUUAGGCAUUCCAACAGUAAACAAAAGGCAUAUAACCUUUUCUAAUAGGGUUAUGUUCAUCCUCUCAGCAAUUCCAUUUUGCUGAGGGGUGUUUCUUACUGUCCUAUGCCUAAGAAUACCAUGGGUUUUACAUAAUUCAUCAAAAUCCCUAUUACAGAACUCCAAUCCAUUAUCAGUUCUUAGAGUUUUGAUCUUCCUAUCAGUUUGAUUUUCAACCAAAGUUUUCCAUGAUCUAAAUUUUUCUAGAGUUUGAUCCUUAGAUUUCAUUAAAAAUAUUCAUACCCUUCUAGAAAAUCAUCAAUUAUGGACAAAAAAUACAUGUUACCGCCGUGUGAGGGAACUUAGGAGGGACCCCAAAAGUCUUGCAUGCAAAUACUUUAGGCAUGCCUUCGCCAGGUGAGUUCUCUUUGGGAAACUCAGCCUGUGUUGCUUGCCUAAGGUAUAUGGCUCACAGAAGCCUAAGGCAUCUGCAGACACUGGACCAAGGUACCCUUGGUUGGACAGUGCCUGAAGCUUAAGGCAUCUCAAGUGCCACAGAUCUGUUCUAUCAGAUUUAACUAUGCAUGCAAAUGGGAUAUGACAAUAACCAUUCAACACAUAUAAACCAUGUUUCUUUGUACCAGAGAGAAUAAGGUCAUCAUUCUUAAACACAUGUAGAUAACCAUUUUCAGCUUUAUAGGAAAACCCUAGUUCAUCUAAGGUGCCAAGAGAAAUCAGAUUUCGUUUUAAUCAGGUACAUAUCUCACAUCAGUCAACAUUCUAAUCUUGUUAUCAUGUAAUUUCAGAGAGAUGUCACCUAUACCUUUAAUUUGCAUGAAUGAUUAUGUCUCAUAAAAACAGUACCAGUUUCUUUAGUGCUAAAGUUUUGAAACCAAUCUAUAUUUGGACACAUGUGAAAAGAGCAUCCGAAUCCAUAAUCCAUUCAUUUACAAUAGAUGUACAAGAGAUAUUUAACACUUCAGCUAGAGAGUUUGAGUUACUGGUAGCUACUGUCACAUUCCCACCCUGUUUCUGUUUUUUAAUAAAAUCAUAGUAGUAUUUUUUGAUAUGGCCCUCUUUUCCACAGUGGUAGCAUUCAACACAUAUAAACCAUGUUUCUUUGUACCAGAGAGAAUAAGGUCAUCAUUCUUAAACACAUGCAGAGAACCAUUUUCAGCUUUAUAGGAAAACCCUAGUUCAUCUUAGGUGCCAAGAGAAAUCAGAUUUCGUUUUAAUCCAGGUCUUGUUAUAACGUGCUUGGCAGACAUGUGAUAAAAAAUGUUCAGCAGGGGGCUGCAACUACAUGCUAUGUAGCAUUGCAUCCGGAGAUCAAAGGGAUGACUGGCAAAUAUUUUGCAGACUGUAACUUAGCUGAAGCAAGCUCGCAAGCUAAUGAUACUGAACUGGCAAAAAAACUGUGGGAUUUCAGCUUGAGAAUGUUCAACCAACGUACCCAUAAGUCAUAGGAGUUUCCAUUUUUCAGAUUUACAGGCCUUCUGAUUUGAUUCCCAAAAACCAAAUAUGGUUUUUUCUCUCUUUUUAAGAAAUACACCUGGGCUAAUUGUUCGUUGCUAGCCUGAAGAAUUUCUUCCCUGUUUAGGCAACCCUUUGGCUUGUCGAUCGGAUCCGGUUUUGCUGUAAACAUCUACGUGGGAUUUGCAGCACAUUGUACAACAAAACAAAAACAAAAUCCACUGCCUGAGCAGAAAAAUGGAUCUUACUGAAUUUGAAUUCUUUGAUUCCAUA